AUCUAGCUAACGAGUUCCAAAUAGGACGAAACGCGCGUUCUGGAU
rnacentral:hammerhead_ribozyme from 1 species